rnacentral:rRNA from 1 species
GAUGAACGCUGGCGGCGUGCCUAAUACAUGCAAGUCGAGCGAACGGACGAGAAGCUUGCUUCUCUGAUGUUAGCGGCGGACGGGUGAGUAACACGUGGAUAACCUACCUAUAAGACUGGGAUAACUUCGGGAAACCGGAGCUAAUACCGGAUAAUAUUUUGAACCGCAUGGUUCAAAAGUGAAAGACGGUCUUGCUGUCACUUAUAGAUGGAUCCGCGCUGCAUUAGCUAGUUGGUAAGGUAACGGCUUACCAAGGCAACGAUGCAUAGCCGACCUGAGGGGGUGAUCGGCCACACUGGAACUGAGACACGGUCCAGACUCCUACGGGAGGCAGCAGUAGGGAAUCUUCCGCAAUGGGCGAAAGCCUGACGGAGCAACGCCGCGUGAGUGAUGAAGGUCUUCGGAUCGUAAAACUCUGUUAUUAGGGAAGAACAUAUGUGUAAGUAACUGUGCACAUCUUGACGGUACCUAAUCAGAAAGCCACGGCUAACUACGUGCCAGCAGCCGCGGUAAUACGUAGGUGGCAAGCGUUAUCCGGAAUUAUUGGGCGUAAAGCGCGCGUAGGCGGUUUUUUAAGUCUGAUGUGAAAGCCCACGGCUCAACCGUGGAGGGUCAUUGGAAACUGGAAAACUUGAGUGCAGAAGAGGAAAGUGGAAUUCCAUGUGUAGCGGUGAAAUGCGCAGAGAUAUGGAGGAACACCAGUGGCGAAGGCGACUUUCUGGUCUGUAACUGACGCUGAUGUGCGAAAGCGUGGGGAUCAAACAGGAUUAGAUACCCUGGUAGUCCACGCCGUAAACGAUGAGUGCUAAGUGUUAGGGGGUUUCCGCCCCUUAGUGCUGCAGCUAACGCAUUAAGCACUCCGCCUGGGGAGUACGACCGCAAGGUUGAAACUCAAAGGAAUUGACGGGGACCCGCACAAGCGGUGGAGCAUGUGGUUUAAUUCGAAGCAACGCGAAGAACCUUACCAAAUCUUGACAUCCUUUGACAACUCUAGAGAUAGAGCCUUCCCCUUCGGGGGACAAAGUGACAGGUGGUGCAUGGUUGUCGUCAGCUCGUGUCGUGAGAUGUUGGGUUAAGUCCCGCAACGAGCGCAACCCUUAAGCUUAGUUGCCAUCAUUAAGUUGGGCACUCUAAGUUGACUGCCGGUGACAAACCGGAGGAAGGUGGGGAUGACGUCAAAUCAUCAUGCCCCUUAUGAUUUGGGCUACACACGUGCUACAAUGGACAAUACAAAGGGCAGCGAAACCGCGAGGUCAAGCAAAUCCCAUAAAGUUGUUCUCAGUUCGGAUUGUAGUCUGCAACUCGACUACAUGAAGCUGGAAUCGCUAGUAAUCGUAGAUCAGCAUGCUACGGUGAAUACGUUCCCGGGUCU